UACAGAGGUCUCAAGCGUUGUUCGGAUUCAUUGGGCGUAAAGGGUGCGUAGGUGGCGCGCUAAGUCGGGUGUGAAAUUUCGGAGCUUAACUCCGAAACUGCAUUCGAUACUGGUGUGCUUGAGGACUGGAGAGGAGACUGGAAUUCAUGGUGUAGCAGUGAAAUGCGUAGAGAUCAUGAGGAAGACCAGUGGCGAAGGCGGGUCUCUGGACAGUUCCUGACACUGAGGCACGAAGGCCAGGGGAGCAAACAGG
rnacentral:rRNA from 1 species